rnacentral:misc_RNA from 1 species
GAUGAAGAACGUAGCAAAAUGCGAUAAGUAAUGUGAAUUGCAGAAUUCAGUGAAUCAUCGAAUAUUUGAACGCACAUUGCGCCCGCCAGUAUUCUGGCGGGCAUGCCUGUUCGAGCGUCAUUUCAACCCUCAAGCUCAGCUUGGUGUUGGGACUCGCGGUAACCCGCGUUCCCCAAAUCGAUUGGCGGUCACGUCGAGCUUCCAUAGCGUAGUAAUCAUACACCUCGUUACUGGUAAUCGUCGCGGCCACGCCGUAAAACCCCAACUUCUGAAUGUUGACCUCGGAUCAGGUAGGAAUACCCGCUGAACUUAAGCAUAUCAAUAAGCGGAGGA